UAAAAUUUGGACGCGGAUUCAUUUUGGGCUAAAUUGUCAAUUUUGAAGAGUUCAAGGACCAAAGUGCAAAUUAGCCAAUUUAGCCUCGAGAAUAGAAAUUGGAAGAUUAUCGACGGAAAUAAUUAUUUUUGGAGUAGUAUUAUUUAUUGGGAUAUAAAUAAUACGUAGAUAAUCGAGUUUAAAUGAAUAAAUAACCGUUUAGUUAAAAUUGAAAGUUUAAAAGAGAAUUGGUUAAGUUAAAGAAAUGAAGGACUAAAGUGGCUAAUUAGCCAAUCUAUAUAAAGAAAAGAAAGAGAUCAGAUAGAGGAAGAAGAAGGAGCGUACAGAAGGUUUUAGGCGAUCGAUUCGAUCCGCCGCGGUUUCGCCGUUUCUCGUCCAAAUCGAGUGAUUCUCGCGCCGAUGGAUUAAGAAUUCAAUUCCCUAUCAUCUUUAAGCUUCAAAUCGAGGAAGUGGAUACAUCGACGAGGUACGAGAUCGACGAGCUGGAAUAGUUAAAAGAGUGAAUGACGUGUGGAGCUUACGUUUGGAUAUAAGGAAUAGCGAUCGUUGUGUAUAGAGUCGGAUCAGACAGACCGUCUUUGGUGUGCUGGGUACAAGACCCCUUGGUGCUGCAGUAGUAUACGUGUGACGAGUCUUAGCCUAGUAUAGUUAGGUCUUAUAGGUUGUGUACGUGUUUAAUGUUUGUUUGAUGUGACAUCUUUUGGUUGUCAGUUUUUGUAUUGAUCGAUAGAUGGGCUAGUACGUACCAGUUACGGAAGUGAAAUGCCCACUAUGAUUGUAUCGAUGAUGUGUCUAUAUAUGAUGUUAUGUUAUGAUUGUAAACGUGUCUUUCUUAUUAUAUGUCUAUAGGAUAGUUGUGUUUGCGUUUCCGCGAAAAAGUUAGAGUGGUUUUAGGCUUGCUACGGGUUUCGGAGCUACCACUCCCAUUCCCUAGCGCCGGUCUCGGCUCAAUAAUUUGGGUCGUGACAAAGUUGGUAUCAGAGCAGUUGGUCCAGUUACCUCUGCUAAUAUGUGAUUUGAGUGCAGUUGGUCCAUGAUACCACUGCAAGUCUGUGAUUGAUGUUUGUUUGUUCCUAGGUAUU